rnacentral:rRNA from 1 species
UUUUCGCAAUGCCCGAAAGGGUGACGAAGCGACGCCGCGUGAGUGAGGAAGGUCUUCGGGUUGUAAAGCUCUGUCAGGAGUUAAGAAAUGUAAGUGUGUUAAUACCACAUUUAUUUGACGAAAGCUCCAAAGGAAGCCACGGCUAACUCUGUGCCAGCAGCCGCGGUAAUACAGAGGUGGCAAGCGUUGUUCGGAAUUAUUGGGCGUAAAGAGCACGUAGGUGGGUUUGUAAGUCAGAUGUGAAAGCCUUCUGUUCAACAGAAGAAUUGCAUCUGAAACUGCGAGUCUUGAGUGUAGGAGGGGAGAAUGGAACUUCUGGUGGAGCGGUGAAAUGCGUAGAUAUCAGAAGGAACGCCGGCGGCGAAAGCGAUUCUCUGGCCUAUUACUGACACUCAGUGUGCGAAAGCUAGGGGAGCAAACGGGAUUAGAUACCCCGGUAGUCCUAGCCGUAAACGAUGGGCACUAAGUAGAGGGGUUUUA